UCACCCUGUUUUGAGGUGGACCUAUUUGUCCUUCCUAUCUACUCCAUUGUCUCAUGAAUAAUUCGAGUGUGCCCUUCUUAUCAGGAACCAGGGAGCAUCACAUUUAUACCAUUCCUCCAAUUGCAAAAUUAUUGUUAGAAUCACCAAUGAUUCAGAUUAUAUCAUUGCCAGUUGUUCUCCCGUUGCUCCGGGUUGUGCUGAAGAGCAGUUAUAUUGGGAACUUUUCAAAUUAUAUUUAAAUGAAGAGGAGUAGGGGCAGCGGGGAAAGUGUCAUUUCAGCCUCUGUGAUACAGAGGGC